GUGUCUGGUGAGUGCUUUUGUCGUAUGGCAGUUGGGACUGAUUGGUUUAAUUGUUACAUAAUUUCAGAGUUUUAUUGGGACUGGUUUUAUUGGUUUAUUAUUGUUUUAGAGAUUAAUUCUUGCAUGUUUUGUGUGUUUUAGUUAGUUGUGUUUUGCGUUUUAUUGCACGUUUUUAGAUGUCCCACUGCCAAUGAACGCGCCUGAUGAGCACAUACGCUGCACCUGCGAGGUUCUCCCUUCUCCCUCACAGGAGCCAGUCGACGGUGAAGAAAGAGGCUCCGGACUGGAAGGAGAGGGGCUACAGAAAAGCCAGGGGAACGGCAGGAGGAAGAGCGACAAGAGGAGACAGCACGAGGCCGGGAACCGGGGCAGAGGGAAACGCCGAGGCGAGGCAAGAAAAGACCCAGAACGUUACGACGCGUCACACUCGCAGCGGCAGGGCUAAUGGCUCUGCCUGGCGUAGCCUUCAAGCAGAAGAGUUCAGGCACGGAAGAAGGCUACUGGACACUGCAGCCACUGAACCUCGUGCACCUUACCCCGGUCUCUCUGAACCUUAAGAACUCAUUUUAAACAGAGACUUCUCGUUUUAAUGGACAGUGACCCCGCCUGCUUUUAACCUGGUUAUUCUGAUUUUAAAGAAACCGCUUCCAGCCAAUAAAGUAUUGUAUGCACCAGUAUCUCUUUUCCGCCCUCUGCUUUAACUGUCACUGUGCUCCACCCGAUAUAUUGAGAAUCUGCAAAAACUUACAAUACCAUUUACCUCCAUUUAAUCACACACCCCACGACUCACGCCUUGACAGUUUGGUUUCAGGUGGACUUUAGAUGAUUUUGGAGCCAAAUGAUUGUGAACAUUUUGAACUUGGCUCUGGGUAAAGUGAAUGACUGGCAUUUCAAAGGGACGUGUGUGUUUUCUUGGAUCGAGAAGCAAAACAGUGCCAUAAACUUCUGUUCACCUGCACAGAAUGACUGGGUUAUCCACCUAUUGGAAGCUACGGACUUAAUAAAGAAAAACAAACAAAACAAGUUCAUUGUUACAUAAAAUGCCCUAAGAAAUGGGGGGGGACACUAAAUGAUGCCCAUCCUACACACAGUGAUCAUUUAGAUUUGCCUGAAACUCAAACAUUCUCUUUCAUCAAUAUCUUCAAAGAAGCUCUCACUGAGCCACAGGCUGCAAUAUAUUUCAACUGUGGGAAUGAUGCCACCUUCUGGCGUUGUUAUAGAAUGCGAAAUGCAAUAAGAAGGGGGAAAAAAAUCACUGGUUGUUGUGGCUUGAAACAUUCUGUAUUCUGCGAAAGGAAUAAUAACCUACACUUUACUAAUACUGGAUGUAGCUUUUUCUGCAGCAUUUUCUUCUUCUUUUACAGUGCAAACAUUUCUAAAUUAUCUUUGAAAUUGUGUACAUUGUAUUUACACAUGCAAUUUAAAAUGUAUGAAGUACUUUUUCUUUUUUAAAGCAAGCUCCACAAUGGUGCUUGCCCACAUUGCAACAAACUGAAUUGAAGUGAUAUAAAAUAAAAUAAAUAGAACAAAAAGAAGAAAGAAAUAGCUUAUCUGUAGACUAAAAGAGUAAAAUGGGAAUAAAUAUUUCAUUUAAAUAAACAAGAUGACAGAAAAUAAGGAGAAUAUCACAAACUCUUGUAUUGCUUAAAAUCCAGAAGGUCUUCACCUUACUAUGUGAAAUGCUAUGAGAUGACAUGCUAUGAUUUGAUGCGAUAUAAAUAAAAUGGAAAUGAAUUGAA